rnacentral:miRNA from 1 species
UAUUAGGUUGGUGCAAAAGUAAUUGCGGUUUUUACCAUUGAAAGUAAAGGCACCAACCUAAUAAUUGGAUUAAUUUUGCAAUUGGAUUACUUUUGCAAAAACCUAACAAUUUAACUGAGU